GACGAACACUUUUGGCGUGCUUAACACAUGCAAGUCGAACGGAAAGGCCCUGCUUUUGUGGGGUGCUCGAGUGGCAAACGGGUGAGAUAACACGUGAGUAACCUGCCCUUGACUUUGGGAUAACGUCAGGAAACUGGCGCUAAUACCGGAUAGGAGCUCCUGCUGCAUGGUGGGGGUUGGAAAGUUUCGAGCGGAUGGGGAUGGACUCUCGGCUUAUCAGCUAGUUGGUGGGGUAGUGGCUUACCAAGGCUUUGACAGGUAGCCGGCCUGAGAGGGUGACCCGCCACAUUGGAACUGAGAUACCGCCCCAGACUCGUACGGGAGGCAGCAGUGGGGAAUAUUGCACAAUGGGCGGAAGCGUGAUGCAGCAACGCCGCGUGCGGGAUGACGGCCUUCGGGUUGUAAACCGCUUUCGCCAGUGACGAAGCGUGAGUGACGGUAAUGGGUAAAGAAGCACCGGCUAACUACGUGCCAGCAGCCGCGCGUGAUACGUAGGGUGCGAGCGUUGUCCGGAUUUAUUGGGCGUAAAGGGCUCGUAGGUGGUUGAUCGCGUCGGAAGUGUAAUCUUGGGGCUUAACCCUGAGCGUGCUUUCGAUACGGGUUGACUUGAGGAAGGUAGGGGAGAAUGGAAUUCCUGGUGGAGCGGUGGAAUGCGCAGAUAUCAGGAGGAACACCAGUGGCGAAGGCGGUUCUCUGGGCCUUUCCUGACGCUGAGGAGCGAAAGCGUGGGGAGCGAACAGGCUUAGAUAUCCUGGUAGUCCACGCUGUAAACGGUGGGUACUAGGUGUGGGGUCCAUUCCACGGGUUCCGUGCCGUAGCUAACGCUUUAAGUACCCCGCCUGGGGAGUACGGCCGCAAGGCUAAAACUCAAAGGAAUUGACGGGGCCCCGCACAAGCGGCGGAGCAUGCGGAUUAAUCCGAUGCAACGCGUAGAACCUUACCUGGGUUUGAUCAUGGAUCGGGAGUGCUCAGAGAUGGGUGUGCCUCUUUUGGGGUCGGUUCACAGGUGGUGCAUGGCUGUCGUCAGCUCGUGUCGUGAGAUGUUGGGUUAAGUCCUGCAACGAGCGCAACCGUUGUUCACUGUCGCCAGCACGUUAUGGUGGGGCCUCAGUGGAGACCGCCGGGGUCAACUCGGAGGAAGGUGGGGAGGACGUCAAGUCAUCAUGCCCCUUAUGUCCAGGGCUUCACGCAUGCUACAAUGGCUGGUACAGAGAGUGGCGAGCCUGUGAGGGUGAGCGAAUCUCGGAAAGCCGGUCUCAGUUCGGAUUGGGGUGUGCAACUCGACCUCAUGAAGUCGGAGUCGAUAGUAAUCGCAGAUCAGCAACGGUGCGGUGAAUAAGUUCCCGGGGCG
rnacentral:rRNA from 1 species